rnacentral:rRNA from 1 species
UACGUAGGUGGCAAGCGUUGUCCGGAUUUACUGGGCGUAAAGAGCGCGCAGGCGGUCGUGCAAGUCGCGUGUGAAAGCCCCCGGCUCAACUGGGGAGGGUCACGCGAUACUGUUCGACUCGAAGGCAGGAGAGGGAAGCGGAAUUCCCGGUGUAGUGGUGAAAUGCGUAGAUAUUGGGAAGAACACCAGUGGCGAAGGCGGCUAACUGGUCCGGUACUGACGCUGAGGUGCGAAAGCGUGGGGAGCAAACAGG